AACUUGCUGACGAAUAGCAAAUAACACGAAACCCGGGUCCAGGGU
rnacentral:hammerhead_ribozyme from 1 species